rnacentral:rRNA from 1 species
UACGUAGGAGGCGAGCGUUGUCCGGAAUUAUUGGGCGUAAAGAGCUCGUAGGCGGCCUGUCGCGUCUGCUGUGAAAUCCCGGGGCUCAACCCCGGGCCUGCAGUGGAUACGGGCUGGCUGGAGGCAGGCAGGGGAGAACGGAAUUCCUGGUGUAGCGGUGAAAUGCGCAGAUAUCAGGAGGAACACCGGUGGCGAAGGCGGUUCUCUGGGCCUGUUCUGACGCUGAGGAGCGAAAGCGUGGGGAGCGAACAGG